rnacentral:rRNA from 1 species
GGAGAAAGCAGGGGACCUUCGGGCCUUGCGCUAUCAGAUGAGCCUAGGUCGGAUUAGCUAGUUGGUGAGGUAAUGGCUCACCAAGGCGACGAUCCGUAACUGGUCUGAGAGGAUGAUCAGUCACACUGGAACUGAGACACGGUCCACACUCCUACGGGAGGCAGCAGUGGGGAAUAUUGGACAAUGGGCGAAAGCCUGAUCCAGCCAUGCCGCGUGUGUGAAGAAGGUCUUCGGAUUGUAAAGCACUUUAAGUUGGGAGGAAGGGCAGUUACCUAAUACGUAAUUGUUUUGACGUUACCGACAGAAUAAGCACCGGCUAACUCUGUGCCAGCAGCCGCGGUAAUACAGAGGGUGCAAGCGUUAAUCGGAAUUACUGGGCGUAAAGCGCGCGUAGGUGGUUUGUUAAGUUGGAUGUGAAAUCCCCGGGCUCAACCUGGGAACUGCAUUCAAAACUGACUGACUA